ACUCAGGGCCUUGUACGUGCUAGGCAAGCACCCUACCACUGAACUACAUCACCAGCCCAGUCCAAAACGUACUAUUUUUUAACAAGACACUUUAAUAUCUUUGAAGUUGGGAAGCGUCUUAAAUCAGUGGCAUCUUUCCACUGUCAUUGGCUAGGCAGCCACCAUGGUACCUUGCACCAGCUUGGUCAUACCUAUUCAUAUUUCCAUUCAUAAUGAGGUACACUGUUGGUUUAAAUGUGAUCUAAAAUGUCUUCAAAAUGACCACACUGGUUUAGCAUAUAACAGAUACAGCAUUCUAAAAACCUGUUACAGUAAGUAUAAAAUAAUCAUAAGUUUUCAUGAUGCAUUUUUUGUAGUUUAAUUGGCAGCAUUUUAUGAUACAUAUUUUCAGUUGACACAUUGUUGAUUUGUGAGAGCUCCUUACAUUUAGGAAAUUAACCAUUCUGUUAAAUACAGCAUGAAUUAUUUUCUUCAGCUUCCUCUGCCUUUCAGUAUUGUAAUACUAUUCAUGGGUUUGUUGGUAUUGUUUUAAUGAAGGGUUUUGAGGAUCGAUGAGACCAAGAACAAAGGGCACCUAUCAAUACUGAGUUGAUUGAAUUCCUGAAAAACCAAACCACAAGCUCAACAUCAUAGAUUUUUUUUCCCCCCUAAAUCUUAUAUUGUGCUACUAUUUCUGUGCAUUUUCUUACCCUAACCUUUUUCUGUUUGUGUUAGCAUUUCUUACAGGCAGAAUAAGGGCUUUCAACUCACUCUGAUUGAAGAGGUAGUGGAGGAAGGAAGGCUAAGAUCUGGAGGGUACUGGAUAGGUAUCCUUGGUCAAAAAUAUUCCCUUUUGCUCUCCAUAUACCCUUUAAAUCAAAUAGGGUGACAUUUGUUUUGCUUUAUUUAAAAAAAAUUGAAGUAAAAUUUAUAUUCAGUAAAUUGCAAAGAACUUAGGUGUUAAAUUUGAUGAGUUUUGAGAGAAGUGUUUUAACAUCAAAAAGUUUUAGAAUUUUAUCAUUUUCUUUGACAGUUUCAUCAACCUUCAGAUGUAUACCCUGACAAUGUUUUCACAUUAUGAAGAUGAAUUUGAAGGCCACUGAUAUCUUAAGCAGAGAUGGCAGUCUUGGGCAUGUCAAUUUGUAAACCUGCUGAGACAAGGUGACAAGGCAGUGACUGGCCAACCUACCAAGAGCCCUGAAGUUCAAGGACAAAAAGGUUGUUUUUUUGGUUUAUUUGGUUUUUUUUUUUUUUUUGUAAACCCGAAAGAAAAAUGAGCCCAUCAGCACAUAGUUAUAAUAUUUAUAUUUGUAUUAACUCUUAAUCUUUUAGCUGAUUAGUGGAGGCAAAGAAGAGCUUUUAUCACCAUGUCCUUCAAAUUCAUGUUUUUCCCUGUUCGUGCAAUAAACACC